rnacentral:misc_RNA from 1 species
UAUUAAUAUUUUAGGAAUUAGUGAAUUAAAAUGGAUUGGAAUGGGUGAAUUUAAUUUAGAUGAUUAUUAUAUUUAUUAUUGUGGGUAAGAAUUUUUUAGAAGAAAUGGAGUAGUUAUUAUGGUUAAUAAAAUAGUUCGAAAUGUAGUAUUUGGAUGUAGUUUUAAAAAUGAUAGAAUGAUUUGUUUAUUUUUAAGGUAAAUUA